GUAGGUGGCAAGCGUUGUCCGGAUUUAUUGGGUUUAAAGGGUGCGUAGGCGGCUUAAUAAGUCAGUGGUGAAAGCCGAUCGCUUAACGAUCGAACUGCCAUUGAUACUGCUAGGCUUGAGUAUAGUUGAGGUAGGCGGAAUUGACAGUGUAGCGGUGAAAUGCAUAGAUAUUGUCAAGAACACCAAUUGCGAAGGCAGCUUACUAAAGUAUAACUGACGCUGAGGCACGAAAGUGCGGGGAUCAAACAGGAUUAGAUACCCUGGUAGUCCGCACCGUAAACGAUGAUCACUCGCUGUGUGCGAUAAACAGUACGCGGCCAAGCGAAAGCGAUAAGUGAUCCACCUGGGGAGUACGCCCGCAAGGGUG
rnacentral:rRNA from 1 species